rnacentral:rRNA from 1 species
UACGGAGGGAGCUAGCGUUGUUCGGAAUUACUGGGCGUAAAGCGUGCGCAGGCGGUUCGUUGUGUCGGUGGUGAAAUCCCCGGGCUUAACCUGGGAAUGGCAAUGGAUACUGGCGAGCUAGAGUGUGAUAGAGGAUGGUGGAAUUCCCGGUGUAGCGGUGAAAUGCGUAGAGAUCGGGAGGAACAUCAGUGGCGAAGGCGGCCAUCUGGAUCAACACUGACGCUGAAGCACGAAAGCGUGGGGAGCAAACAGG